rnacentral:rRNA from 1 species
GACGAGUGGCGGACGGGUGAGUAAUGCGUAGGAAUCUGUCUUUGAGUGGGGGACAACCCAGGGAAACUUGGGCUAAUACCGCAUAAGCCCUGAGGGGGAAAGCGGGGGAUCUUCGGACCUCGCGCUGGAAGAGGAGCCUACGUCUGAUUAACUAGUUGGUAGGGUAAAGGCCUACCAAGGCGACGAUCGGUAGCUGGUCUGAGAGGACGACCAGCCACACUGGGACUGAGACACGGCCCANACUCCUACGGGAGGCAGCAGUGGGGAAUUUUUCGCAAUGGGGGCAACCCUGACGAAGCAAUGCCGCGUGAAUGGANAAGGCCUUCGGGUUGUAAAGUUCUUUCGUGGAGGACGAAAAGGUGGGUGCUAAUAUCGCCUGCUGUUGACGUGAAUCCAAGAAGAAGCACCGGCUAACUCCGUGCCAGCAGCCGCGGUAAUAC